UACGGAGGGUGCAAGCGUUAAUCGGAAUUACUGGGCGUAAAGCGCGCGUAGGCGGUUUUUUAAGUCGGAUGUGAAAGCCCCGGGCUCAACCUGGGAACUGCAUCCGAUACUGGAAGACUAGAAUGCGGGAGAGGGAGGUAGAAUUCCAUGUGUAGCAGUGAAAUGCGUAGAUAUAUGGAGGAAUACCAGUNGCGAAGGCGGCCUCCUGGCUCGNNAUUGACGCUGAGGUGCGAAAGCGUGGGGAGCAAACGGG
rnacentral:rRNA from 1 species